AACAGAUUUCUCAAUCCCAGGAGCUUCACUUGGAAGGAUCCUCCUGAGGGUUGCUGUUGAGUGAGGAGCAGUAGGCAGCAGCAGCAGCUCCUUUCCUACCCUGGGUGCUUGGCAGGAGUUCCUUAUCUUUUUUUAUUGAUUUACUUCCUGGGGUAUUAUAAGCAAAACUGAAAGAAGGUCCAGUGGGAAUAAUCAUGCCUGAUCCGUGGCUGCCUGGAGCUGCUGCUCAGUGCAGUGGGAAGAAGCAGACAGGAUUUGGAGUGAAUGGGAGACAACAUCUGACAUUUAAAAUUACAAAUUAAAUUACAUUUAAUUACAAAUUAAAGAUUUGUAACACUGAGUUAUUUUGUUCUGUGUUCUCUUCCACACAGAAGGUGCUCAGAAUUCCCU